AUUGAACGCUGGCGGCAUGCCUAACACAUGCAAGUCGAACGAGUGGCGGACGGGUGAGUAACGUCUGGGAACCUGCCCGAUGGAGGGGGAUAACUACUGGAAACGGUAGCUAAUACCGCAUACUAUCUGAUCUGCCCAUGUGUGAUUAGCUAGUAGGCGGGGUAAAGGCUCACCUAGGCGACGAUCACUAGCUGGUCUGAGAGGAUGACCAGCCACACUGGGACUGAGACACGGUCCAGACUCCUACGGGAGGCAGCAGUGGGGAAUAUUGCACAAUGGGCGCAAGCCUGAUGCAGCCAUGCCGCGUGUAUGAAGAAGGCCUUCGGGUUGUAAAGUACUGUCGGCAGGGAGGCGUUACCCGAAGAAGAAGCACCGGCUAACUCCGUGCCAGCAGCCGCGGUAAUUC
rnacentral:rRNA from 1 species